rnacentral:tRNA from 1 species
GGGAAGGUGGCUCAGUGGUAGAGCGCUUGCCUUGCAUGCAUAAGGCCCUGGGUUCGAUUCCUCAGCACCCCA